rnacentral:rRNA from 1 species
AUGGCACGCCUGUCUUCCGUUCCCACCUCCCUCCUGCUGCUAGCUAGCCUCGCCGCCGCCGCCUCGGCAGCAGCCGCGGAUCAAGAGGAAGGAGGCAUCAGGAUCCGCGUGCGGUACCCAACCAAGGAGCAGUCGCAGUGGCUGGACCGCUGGGCGGAGAAGCACCAGGCUCAAGGGUCCGGUGGAGGCUUCAGGAUCCGGCCGGCCACCGACGAGGAGUCGGCGUUUCUGAACCGCAUGUCAGCCCGCGGUGCGGAGAAAACCGGCGUCGGAGCCGGCUACGACGGCCACAUUGAGUUUGGCGACGAACAUCCAAGAAUCGUUGUGGAUGCCUUCCACUCUCGAGCUCACACGUCCAAGGCGAACAAUGAUCUUUAG